rnacentral:rRNA from 1 species
AUAAAGAUUUCGGUUUUUAUCUUAGUGGCGCACGGGUGAGUAACACGUGAAUAACCUGACCCAAAGAGGGGGAUAACACCUGGAAACAGGUGCUAAUACCGCAUAAGACCACAAUGUCGCAUGACGAAGGGGUCAAAGAAAAUCGCUUUGGGAGGGGUUCGCGUCCCAUUAGGUAGUAGGCGGGGUAAUAGCCCACCUAGCCGACGAUGGGUAGCCGAGCUGAGAGGCUGAUCGGCCACACUGGAACUGAGACACGGUCCAGACUCCUACGGGAGGCAGCAGUGGGGAAUAUUGGGCAAUGGGCGCAAGCCUGACCCAGCAACGCCGCGUGAGGGAAGAAGGUUUUCGGAUUGUAAACCUCUGUCGCAGAAGACGAAGGAAGUGACGGUAUUCUGUGAGGAAGCCCCGGCUAACUACGUGCCAGCAGCCGCGGUAAUACGUAGGGGGCGAGCGUUGUCCGGAAUUACUGGGCGUAAAGGGAGCGUAGGCGGUCUGAUAAGUUGGAUGUGAAAUACCCGGGCUUAACUUGGGGGGUGCAUCCAAUACUGUUGGACUAGAGUACAGGAGAGGAAAGCGGAAUUCCUAGUGUAGCGGUGAAAUGCAUAGAUAUUAGGAGGAACAUCGGUGGCGAAGGCGGCUUUCUGGACUGCAACUGACGCUGAGGCUCGAAAGCGUGGGGAGCAAACAGGAUUAGAUACCCUGGUAGU